GACGAACGCUGGCGGCGUGCCUAAUACAUGCAAGUAGAACGCUGAAGGAGGAGCUUGCUCUUCUGUAUGAGUUGCGAACGGGUGAGUAACGCGUAGGUAACCUGCCUGGUAGCGGGGGAUAACUAUUGGAAACGAUAGCUAAUACCGCAUAACAGUAGAUGUUGCAUGACAUUUGCUUAAAAGGUGCAAUUGCAUCACUACCAGAUGGACCUGCGUUGUAUUAGCUAGUUGGUGGGGUAACGGCUCACCAAGGCGACGAUACAUAGCCGACCUGAGAGGGUGAUCGGCCACACUGGGACUGAGACACGGCCCAGACUCCUACGGGAGGCAGCAGUAGGGAAUCUUCGGCAAUAGACGGAAGUCUGACCGAGCAACGCCGCGUGAGUGAAGAAGGUUUUCGGAUCGUAAAGCUCUGUUGUAAGAGAAGAACGAGUGUGAGAGUGGAAAGUUCACACUGUGACGGUAUCUUACCAGAAAGGGACGGCUAACUACGUG
rnacentral:rRNA from 1 species